CACAUGAGCACAGGAAGGUCGAGGCUGCAAUAAGCUGUGAUCCCAUCACUCCACUCCAGCCUGGAUGACAGAGCCAGAUCCUGUCUCAAAAAAAAAAAGAAUAGAAAAGAAAUGGCUUAGGCUGAACAUGGGGAAACACCCCAAGGCCGGAGCUGAUCUAAUUUAAAUCGGGUUUUUUUCUAUAGUCUCAGGCUGCCUAAGGCUAAUGAGGAAAGAGGGAACCUCAGUUUUUGCCACACAUACAACUACUCAGGGCUCGCAAAAAAAAAAAAUGUAUAUAAAAAAAAAAUAUAUAUAUAUACAUAUAUAUACACACACACACAUAUUUCCCACUGUUGCCAAAUGUUUAAAUGGCCCACAGGUUGUUUGUCUAACAACUUGAUGUUUGCCCAGAUUGACUGAAGAUAAUGAGUUUUAGCAAGGAUGCUCCUUAGGCCUGGCAACUACUCUACAAAAUCAAAUCAUAGAAGCUUGUGAAAAACUCAGUGUUUCCUAAGUAGCAUGGCCUCCCAACUCAAAAUGCUUUUAUUUCUUUAAAUAUUCAUGAUCUGGAUCUAAAACAACAAAACUCAACUCACAGUCAUUCUUAUUUCCUUUACGUGUUGAUAUUUUCCACCACAUCACAGGGGACUUUUGCCCAGGGUUUAUAAGAAGGUCAUUUGAAUUGCUUUACAGCUAAGAACCACCUUAGGAAUUAACUGUGGGGCCUCCUAUUAAUCUUGUUGUAUUUAUGCAGUGUUAACAUUGGUUCUGGGUUCCUUAUGAUUUUUGAAUUUAAAUGGUUUCUUCUAGUUGGUGAUUCUGCUCUAACCCACAGUUUCUCUGAAGAUGCUGAGAAUUAAUUUAUCUGCUGUGUUUGUAACCCAAAAUAAAAGCAAAGAUAAGAACAAAGGAGGUGAAACAUCUGGGACACUGGAGAUACCUGUGGACCAAGACUAAUUCAGCAGCACUCCCAUUCUGCUCAGAGCUAGAUAAUAAGCUAUGCUGACACAUGAGGCAUUCACAGUGGCACAGUUGCUCAGAGUGACAGUCAUCCCUUGGUAGAAAAUGUUUUAAUAUGAAAACUUAGUAGAUGUAAUGGCAAUUUUCUUUGGGAAUAAAUUGGUCUCUGAAUCAUACUCUAAAAACAUAAAGGAAAAAUGACUAAUAAUUCAGCACAAAAUGAAAACCUGUGGUUACCUAAGAGGUAUCAGUGUGCAUUUAGCAAUUUCUUCUUUUUCUAGGUGAAUAAGCAUGUCAGGUCCACAAGACAAAUGGUGGCUGUUGCCAGGCUUUCUUCCCAUUGCUACUCAAGAUUUGCUCCUCAGAAAAAGGAAUGAGUGGCAUUUCACCAAUAUGGAAAUGUUUCCAAUAGAGUAUAAAAAUCCAUUAAGCAAUUUUCCAGUACAUUAGGCUAAAAGUGCUUAAAACGAGUAUCUCUUUCUGUGACAAUUAAACAUCACACAAUUUGCAGUCGUAUAAUACCCCUAUGUACAAAGUGCUCGGUCAACUUGGCCUAUUUUAGUCAUUACUUUUGUACUUAUUUCCAUGUGUGACCUGGUACAGUCAAGGCCACUUCUCAAUUAUCUGGGAGAGAAUUUCCUAAUUUGAGGGUCACUCAGGCUUUCAUUAAGAGUCAUUCUUUUGAGCAGUUUGUAUAGACUCAAUGAAAAAGCCAAGCAACCAGUUUUCCUUAUAGCCAGCUUUAACAAAGCACGUGUGGUUUGAGAAUCUUGACUCUGGAUAAAAAUGACAAGUUACUAAAGAGAAGUACUGAUAACUUCUUGUCUACUUCUCUGUUUCCAACCUUUAUUGAUUUAUAGAUUUCAAAGACCAUGACUCAGGGAGCAUAAAAAUGUGGAACUCUGUAUGCAGAGGCUCAUUCCAGCAUUUUGGGAGGCCAAAGCAGGAGUAUCGCUUGAGACCAGGAGUUCGAGACAACCUGGGCGACACAGUGAGACCCACAUCUCUAUAAAAAAUACAUACAUUUUAAAAAAGUGAACAUGAAGGCUGAGCACAGUGGCUCAUGCCUGUAAUCCCAGCACUUUGGGAAGCCAAGGUGGGAGGAUUGCUUGAGCCCAGGAGUUUGAGACUAGCCUGGGCAACAAAGUGAGACCUCAUCUCUGCAAAAAAUCAAAAAAUAAGCCAGAUAUGGUGGUGUGCACCUCUGUUCUCUGCUAUAUAGGAGGCUGAGGCAGGAUUGUGUAAGCCCAGGAGGUGCUGCAGUCAUUGCACCACUGCAACUCCAGCCUGGGAGACAGAGUGAGACUCUGUCUCAGAAAACAAACAAAAAAAAAAACAGUGGAAAUGCUCACAUUGAGUAGCUACUUUUGAAAGUUACACAGUAUAAAUCAACUAUCAUUCAGAUCUGACAUCCCUUCCGUACCCUAUAUUUUUCAUCUUUAACCCUUUAAGCCAUUCUUCGGUGAAGACAAAUAAUCACUGAAUGUCGGCUUAGAAAAUGUGUAGGUGAUAUGCAUGGGUGGAAGACUUUCAACUAAUAGUAUUAGGAAAACGCUACAACUCUAGCGGGGAAUAAGAUCUAGAACAUUCCGAAAGCAAAAAGAUUGCUAUAGAAUGAUUCCAAUUAUUUUAAUGCCAUGUAAGAUGCCAUUAUAGAAACUGACAGUGCUCCAGUUCCAGCAACACGAAUGAGGGAAAUAAAAAUAUUUCACCCCAAAAUAUAUUUGUCAUAUUUUCAGAUGGCUGUUCAGAGAGCCAAAAGAAGCAGCCCUGCAAAGCUGUCUUUUUUGGAGAAAACUUGCAUUUGCAGAGAAUCUGCUUGAUGCAGCCAGGCCUUCCCUUGUCUGGAUCUCGGGAAGAUUAACUUAGUCUGACACUUUAAAGGUCUGAAACAUUUACCAUCUAUUCUUUUGAGGGCUGCCACCUGUGGGGCUUCAUUUACAUAACAAGACCACCUUUGCUAGCCAGGCUUCCCCUUCUCCAGCUCCCCGAACAUGUUAUGCCACUGAUCCGAGCCCACACUCUUUUUGUAACCUUUAGGUGGUAUUUAAGCUUCUAAACCCUAUUGGGUGGGGGUUUGGGGGGUAAUCACUCUGUAGCUCUCCCCUUCAUGCAAGCUAAUAUAUUGGUAUGCCUUUUCUCCAAUUAAUUUGCCUUUUCUCAGUUGAUUUUUCAGUGAACCUUCAGAGGGCAAAGGGGAAGUUUCCCCUUGGUUCCUACAGGAACCUAAGACCCACAGAGUGAUGGAAAAAGGAAAGGCUUUGGAGCCAGGCAGGCCCAAGUUUGAAUCCCAGCUGUACUGCUUAUUCGCUGAACAACCUUGGGCAAGUCAGUUAUCCUACUUAAAAACAGGAUAAUGUUAACUUCACACAGUUGUUUCAAGGAUUAGCAUUAAUGUAGAAAAUCAACUCAUCAGGCAUUGAAAAAAUGGUGGCUAUCAGUAUCAAUGAUCACAUCCCAAUCCAGUUAUGGACCUAACUUUAAGACUGCUGCUAAAUCCCAGGGAAUGAGUUCUGCAGGAGCAAGCAGUCCUGGCCUCAAGUCCGUAUAUUUGUGCAUGUUCCCCAUUUUGUUUUGCCAUUUGAACACAUUUUCAGCAUGUCUAGUGAUUCACCUAUAAAUGUCUUCUUCAAGUGGAUCUCAGCCUGCACAUGCUGCACAUUCUGAAACUCACAAGAACAGUAUCCUUGCUCCCCACAUUGAUUUUGGUCUUGUCUUCCACCUUAGAAAACUAGUAUAUGGUAUAAUACAGUAUUAAAGUUUUAAAGUACUAACUUUAUACACAACACUGCCCUCUAGCGACUAGAAUAAUUUUUUUUUUUUUUGAGACGGAGUCUCGCUCUGUUGCCCAGGCUAGAGUGCAGGGGCACGAUCUCAGCUCAAUGCAACCUCCACCUCCCAGUUCAAGCAAUCUUCCUGCCUCAGCCUCCGAGUAGCUGGGAUUACAGGCACGCACCACCACACCCAGUUAAUUUUUUUGUAUUCUUAGUAGAGAUGGGGUUUCAUCAUGAUGGCCAGGAUGGUCUCAAUCUCUUGACCUCGACCUCGUGAUCCGCCUGCCUUGGCCUCCCAAAGUGCUGAGAAUUACAGGCAUGAGCCACCACGCCUGGCCUAGAAUAAUUCUUUCUAGUUGUCUGUUCAGCUGCUCUCUGGGUAAAAAUUAAAAAUUCUGUCAUAGAUUGUCUUGAAUGUGUUGGCUGACAUUAGAGAAAUGGAAAUCAUAACUACAAUGAGAUACCACCUCAUGCCCAAUAGUAAUUUGAACAACAAUUUGACAAUUCUUUAUAAUAUUAAAGUUACAUGAUCCAGCAAUUCCACUCCUAGAAUUUAAAACCUGUCGGCCAGGCGCAAUGGCUAACGCCUGUAAUCCCAGCACUUUGGGAGGCCGAGGCAGGCAGAUCACGAGGUCAGGAGAUCGAGACCAUCCCGGUUAACACGGUGAAACCCCGUCUCUAUUAAA
rnacentral:lncRNA from 10 species